UCCACGUCAGAGGAUUUGGAGAAUAAAAAAUAAGGCAGGAGGAGCAGGUGCUCAGAUGUGUGUUCUCCUCUCUCCUGGCCUAAGACCUAGAAAGGAGGCAUGUGAGACAGGUUGAGAAAAAAGCCCAAAGCAUAAGGAUGUCAACUUCAUUUCCAGGUCAGAACUCUGCGAGGAAAUUGCCUCAUAUAUUGUCCCCACAAUAACCUGGAGUGGGGAUGUUGUAGACAGAGAGAGAUCUUCGGUUAGAAUUCUCUUUGCUCUGUUGUUCUCUCAUUCUCCCAAGAAGAGACUCCAGGGUUCUUGAGAGGUCAGCUGGUGAACUUGACAGAGGCAUUGCCAUGACAACAAAGGCACAAUGACGGCCUCUCCCCAACAAAAGGAGAGCCAGUGUCCAGCAUAGUCCCUGGUGAAUGAUGAUAAAUGAAUCUAGAUAAAGAAAACAAAAACCUUCAGUGGGGCAAGAAUGACUUCAGAAAAGCAGCAUGUGUCAGCAGACACAACAGUAUCUCAUCGCCAAAGACCAAUACCAAUACAACCAGUGCAACAUGAACAGGCUGCUUUACUCAUUCUUUACGUGAGAUUUUGUUUUUACUAUAUUAAAAUGGUAAAUUCACUUACUUAAAAUGAUUAUAUGUAGUAGAUGUUAAAUCAAUGUUAAUUGCCUUCCCCUUCCUUUCACCUCCUCCUCUUUUUAUAGUGAAAGAUAAAGGUUUAUGAACA
rnacentral:lncRNA from 1 species